rnacentral:rRNA from 1 species
GUAGUCCACGCCAUAAACGAUGUGUGCUAGCUGCUGGGACUCUUAGAGUUUCGGUGGCGCAGCUAACGCCUUAAGCACACCGCCUGGGGAGUACGGUCGCAAGAUUAAAACUCAAAGGAAUUGACGGGGACCCGCACAAGCGGUGGAGCAUGUUCUUUAAUUCGAAGCAACGCGAAGAACCUUACCCACUUUUGCCAUCCCGGUAGCGGCUUUCAGAGAUGAGAGCUUCAUUUAGUUGGACCGGUGACAGGUGCUGCAUGGCUGUCGUCAGCUCGUGUCGUGAGAUGUUGGGUUAAGUCCCGCAACGAGCGCAACCCUUGUCGUAUGUUGCCAUCAGGUAAUGCUGGGCACUCAUACGAGACCGCCGGUGAUAAGCCGGA